AAAGUAUUUAUGCAUGUAUAUUGAUAAACAAAAUCAGUUAAAAAAAAAAAAAGUACUAUUUUUUUCUAUUUUGGCCUGUAACACUUCAAACACUUAAUGGCUCAUCUACAGUCUUAGUCAGUACCUAACAAGGCUAGCCAAUGACUUUCCUGCCUUUUUUGCUUAACCGGUCGAGGUUACCAAUAUGCUCAUACAAUCUUUUUCUCUUUUGGCCUGUAACACUUAAAUCAGUUAAAAAAAAAGUAUUUAUGCAUGUAUAUUGAUAAACAAAAUCAGUAAAAAAAAAAAAAAGUACUUUUUUUUUCUAUUUUGGCCUGUAACACUUCAAACACUUAAUGGCUCAUCUAGAGUCUUAGUCAGCACCUAACAAGGCUAGCCAAUGACUUUCCUGCCUUUUUUGCUUAACCGGUCGAGGUUACCAAUAUGCUCUUACUAUUUUUUUCUAUUUUGGCCUGUAACACUUCAAACACUAAAUGGCUCAUCUACAGUCUUAGUCAGCACCUAACAAGGCUAGCCAAUGACUUUCCUGCCUUUCCUGCCAGUUAAAAAAAAAAAGUAUUAAUGCAUGUAUAUUGAUAAACAAAAUCAGUUAAAAAAAAAAAAAAGAAUUUAUGCAUGUGUAUUGAUAAACAAAAUCAGUAAAAAAAAAAAAAAAGUACUUUUUUUUUCUAUUUUGGCCUGUAACACUUCAAACACUUAAUGGCUCAUCUAGAGUCUUAGUCAGCACCUAACAAGGCUAGCCAAUGACUUUCCUGCCUUUUUUGCUUAACCGGUCAAAGUUGGCCUGUAACACUUCAAACACUUAAUGGCUCAUCUACAGUCUUAGUCAGCACCUAACAAGGCUAGCCAAUGACUUUCCUGCCUUUUUUGCUUAACCGGUCGAGGUUACCAAUAUCCUCAUACAAAUUUUUUCUCUUUUGGCCUGUACCACUUAAAUCAGUUAAAAAAAUAACAAAAAAGUAUUCAUGCAUGUAUAUUGAUAAACAAAAUCAGUUAAAAAAAAAAAGUACUAUUUUUUUCUAUUUUGGCCUGUAACACUUCGAACACUUAAUGGCUCAUCUACAAGUCUUAGUCAGUACCUAACAAGGCUAGCCAAUGACUUUCCUGCCUUUUUUGCUUAACCGGUCGAGGUUACAUUGGCUCAUACAAUAUUUUUCUCUUUUGGCCUGUAACACUUAAAUCAGUAAAAAACAAAAAAAAAAAAAAAGUAUUUAUGUAUGUAUAUUGAUAAACAAAAUCAGUUAAAAAAAAAAAAGUACUAUUUUUUUCUAUUUUGGCCUGUAACACUUCAAACACUUAAUGGCUCAUCUACAGUCUUAGUCAGCACCUAACAAGGCUAGCCAAUGGCUUUCCUGCCUUUUUUGCUUAACCGGUCGAGGUUACCAAUAUGCUCAUACAAAUUUUUUCUCUUUUGGCCUGUAACACUUAAAUCAGUAAAAAAAAAAAAAAAAAAAAAGUAUUUAUGUAUGUAUAUUGAUAAACAAAAUCAGUUAAAAAAAAAAAGUACUAUUCUUUUCUAUUUUGGCCUGUAACACUUCAAACACUUAAUGGCUCAUCUACAGUCUUAGUCAGCACCUAACAAGGCUAGCCAAUGACUUUCCCUGCCUUUUUUGCUUAACCGGUCGAGGUUACCAAUAUGCUCUUACUAUUUUUUUCUAUUUUGGCCUUUAACACUUCAAACACUUAAUGGCUCAUAUACAGUCCAAGUCAGCACCUAACAAGGCUAGCCAAUGACUUUCCUGCCUUUUUUGCUUAACCGGUCGAGGUUACCAAUAUGCUCAUACAUUAUUUUUUUCUUUUGGCCUGUAACACUUCAAGCACUUAAUGGCUCAUCUACAGUCGUAGUCAGCACCUAACAAGGCUAGCCAAUGACUUUCCUGCCUUUUUUGCUUAACCGGUCGAGGUUACAUUGGCUCAUACAAUCUUUUUCUCUUUUGGCCUGUAACACUUAAAUCAGUUGAAAAAAAAAAGUAUUAAUGCAUGUGUAUUAAUAAACAAAAUCAGUAAAAAAAAAAGUUACCAAUAUGCUCAUACAUUAUUUUUUUCUUUUGGCCUGUAACACUUCAAGCACUUAAUGG
ensembl:lncRNA